GGGCUAGCCUCAGGAUAGUUUAGCGGAGGUAAAGCACUGAAUGGGCUAGGGGGCUUCACGGCUUACCGAACCCUAUCAAACUCUGAAUGCCGCAUAAAUGUUUCCUGGGAGUCAGACUGCGUGAGAUAAGUUUCGUAGUCAAAAGGGAAAGAGCCCAGACCUACAGCUAAGGUCCCUAAAUGAAUUUAAGUGGAAAAGGAUGUGCAGUUGCGUAGACAACUAGGACGUUGGCUUAGAAGCAGCCACUCAUUUAAAGAGUGCGUAAUAGCUCACUAGUCGAGUGAUUGUGCGCCGAAAAUGUAACGGGGCUAAAAUUCAUACCGAAGCUUAGGAAUGAUAGUAAUAUUGUUGGUAGAUGAGCGUUGUGUAAGUCUGCGAAGCUACACCGAAAGGAGUAGUGGAGAUAUCACAAGUGAGAAUGCCGGAAUGAGUAGCGAGAAUUAUGUGAGAAUCAUAAUGGUCGAAAAUCUAAGGUUUCUUGAGGAAGGUUCGUCCGCUCAAGGUAAGCCGGGAGCUAAGGCGAGGCCGAGAGGCGUAGUCGAUGCACAUACGGUAAAGAUUCCGUAGCCACCGAAGUCGUUAAAUACAGGGACACAGGAACAUAGCCUAACCCCACCGUUGGUUGAGUGGGGCGUAAGGGAGCGAAAAUUAGUAGCGAAGUAGGUGAUUGUACACUGGCGAGAAAAGCUGUAUGAAUUGACAAGGUGCCCGUACCGCAAACCGACACAGGUAGAUGAGGAGAGAAUCCUAAGACCAGCGGGAGAAGUGUUGUUAAGGAACUCGGCAAAAUGACCCCGUAACUUCGGGAUAAGGGGAGCCUACGCGAGUAGGCCGCAGAGAAUAGUCUCAAGCGACUGUUUAGCAAAAACACAGGUCUAUGCUAAAUCGAAAGAUGAUGUAUAUGGGCUGACGCCUGCCCGGUGCUGGAAGGUUAAGGGGAAGUGUUAGAGCAAUCGAAGCACUGAACUUAAGCCCCAGUAAACGGCGGCCGUAACUAUAACGGUCCUAAGGUAGCGAAAUUCCUUGUCAGGUAAGUUCUGACCCGCACGAAUGGCGUAACGACUUGAGAGCUGUCUCAACAACAUACCCGGCGAAAUUGAAGUACUGGUAAAGAUGCCAGUUACCCGUGAUAAGACGGAAAGACCCCAUGGAGCUUUACUGUAACUUGAUAUUGAAUUUUUGUAUUACAUGUACAGGAUAGGUGGGAGACAGAGAACUAAUGCCGCCAGGUGUUAGGGAGUCGAUGUUGGGAUACCACUCUUGUAAUAUGAAGGUUCUAACCUGCACCCGUGAAUCCGGGUGGGGGACACUGUCAGGUGGACAGUUUGACUGGGGCGGUCGCCUCCUAAAAGGUAACGGAGGCGUUCAAAGGUUGGUUCAGCACGGACGGAAAUCGUGCAACGAGUGCAAACGCAUAAACCAGCCUAACUGCGAGACCGACAAGUCGAGCAGUAACGAAAGUUGGAGUUAGUGAUCCGGCGGUAUGAGAGUGGAAUUGCCGUCGCUCAACGGAUAAAAGCUACCCUGGGGAUAACAGGCUGAUCUCCCCCAAGAGUUCACAUCGACGGGGAGGUUUGGCACCUCGAUGUCGGCUCAUCGCAUCCUGGAGCUGAAGUCGGUUCCAAGGGUUGGGCUGUUCGCCCAUUAAAGCGGUACGCGAGCUGGGUUCAGAACGUCGCGAGACAGUUCGGUCCCUAUCUAUCACGGGCGUAGGAAAUUUGAGGAGAGCUGACCUUAGUACGAGAGGACCGGGUUGGACGUACCGCUGGUGCACCUGUUGUUCUGCCAAGGGCAUAGCAGGGUAGCUAAGUACGGACGGGAUAAACGCUGAAGGCAUCUAAGCGUGAAGCCCCCUUCGAGAUAAGAUUUCCCAUAGCGUAGGCUAGU
rnacentral:rRNA from 1 species